rnacentral:rRNA from 1 species
GAUGAACGCUGGCGGCGUGCUUAACACAUGCAAGUCGAACGGAAAGGCCCAAGCUUGCUUGGGUACUCGAGUGGCGAACGGGUGAGUAACACGUGGGUGAUCUGCCCUGCACUUCGGGAUAAGCCUGGGAAACUGGGUCUAAUACCGGAUAGGACCACUUCUUGGAUGUUGUGGUGGAAAGUUUUUUCGGUGUGGGAUGAGCUCGCGGCCUAUCAGCUUGUUGGUGGGGUAAUGGCCUACCAAGGCGUCGACGGGUAGCCGGCCUGAGAGGGUGUACGGCCACAUUGGGACUGAGAUACGGCCCAGACUCCUACGGGAGGCAGCAGUGGGGAAUAUUGCACAAUGGGCGCAAGCCUGAUGCAGCGACGCCGCGUGGGGGAUGACGGCCUUCGGGUUGUAAACUCCUUUCGCUAGGGACGAAGCGUUUUGUGACGGGACCUGGAGAAGAAGCACCGGCUAACUACGU